rnacentral:rRNA from 1 species
AUUGAACGCUGGCGGCAGGCCUAACACAUGCAAGUCGAGCGGAUGAAGGGAGCUUGCUCCUGGAUUCAGCGGCGGACGGGUGAGUAAUGCCUAGGAAUCUGCCUGGUAGUGGGGGAUAACGUCCGGAAACGGGCGCUAAUACCGCAUACGUCCUGAGGGAGAAAGUGGGGGAUCUUCGGACCUCACGCUAUCAGAUGAGCCUAGGUCGGAUUAGCUAGUUGGUGGGGUAAAGGCCUACCAAGGCGACGAUCCGUAACUGGUCUGAGAGGAUGAUCAGUCACACUGGAACUGAGACACGGUCCAGACUCCUAGGGGAGGCAGCAGUGGGGAAUAUUGGAAAAUGGGCGAAAGCCUGAUCCAGCCAUGCCGGGUGUGUGAAGAAGGUCUUCGGAUUGUAAAGCACUUUAAGUUGGGAGGAAGGGCAGUAAGUUAAUACCUUGCUUUUUUGACGUUACCAACAGAAUAAGCACCGGCUAACUUCGU